rnacentral:rRNA from 1 species
UACGUAGGGUGCGAGCGUUGUCCGGAAUUAUUGGGCGUAAAGAGCUUGUAGGCGAUUUGUCGCGUCUGCUGUGAAAAUCCGGGGCUCAACCCCGGACUUGCAGUGGGUACGGGCAGACUAGAGUGUGGUAGGGGUGACUGGAAUUCCUGGUGUAGCGGUGAAAUGCGCAGAUAUCAGGAGGAACACCGAUGGCGAAGGCAGGUCUCUGGGCCACUACUGACGCUGAGAAGCGAAAGCAUGGGGAGCGAACAGG